AGUGAACGCUGGCGGUAGGCCUAACACAUGCAAGUCGAACGGCAGCACAGUAAGAGCUUGCUCUUACGGGUGGCGAGUGGCGGACGGGUGAGGAAUACAUCGGAAUCUACUUUUUCGUGGGGGAUAACGUAGGGAAACUUACGCUAAUACCGCAUACGACCUACGGGUGAAAGCAGGGGAUCUUCGGACCUUGCGUGAUUGAAUGAGCCGAUGUCGGAUUAGCUAGUUGGCGGGGUAAAGGCCCACCAAGGCGACGAUCCGUAGCUGGUCUGAGAGGAUGAUCAGCCACACUGGAACUGAGACACGGUCCAGACUCCUACGGGAGGCAGCAGUGGGGAAUAUUGGACAAUGGGCGCAAGCCUGAUCCAGCCAGACCGCGUGGGUGAAGAAGGCCUUCGGGUUGUAAAGCCCUUUUGUUGGGAAAGAAAAGCAGCAGGUUAAUACCCCGCUGUUCUGACGGUACCCAAAGAAUAAGCACCGGCUAACUUCGUG
rnacentral:rRNA from 1 species